AGACUUUGUCGAAUUGUCGAAAUACCAUAACAUCAUCCAUGCCUGUCAAAGACGUCUUUUCAUCUGCAAACAUCUUGUCGAAAUGUCGAACCACCAAUCUGUCGAAGUGUCGAAAACACUUAUCAACUAAACUGUUAAUCUCAUGGCGUCAUUUGUCGAAAGAACCAUUCUGCAUACUAAUCUCAUGGCGUCGAAAACGCAUGUAUACAAAUUGCCCCCCAGCAAAGAUGUUUCGACUGUUUUGGAGAAACAGUCAUUUGUUGUCAACCAGUG
rnacentral:lncRNA from 1 species